AACGAACGCUGGCGGCGUGGCUAAGACAUGCAAGUCGAACGGACUGUCCAAUUUAUUGAACAGUUAGUGGCGAAAGGGUUAGUAACGGAUGGGUAACGUACCCUGUGCUUUGGGAUAGCGUCUAGUUGCUUCGGCAACUUUCCGAAAGGGGCGGUAAUACCAAAUAAUAUCAUUUGUCGAUAGGCAGAUGACCAAAGAUUUAUCGGCACAGGAGCGGCCUGUCUCCUAUCAGCUUGUUGGUGAGGUAAUGGCUCACCAAGGCAUCGACGGGUAGCGGGACUGAGAGGUUGACCCGCAACAUCGGGACUGAGACACUGCCCGGACCUCCACGGAGGGCUGCAGUAACGGAUAUUGUGCAAUGGGCGAAAGCCUGACACAGCGACGCCGCGUGUAGGAGGAAGUCUUUCGGGAUGUAAACUACUGUCAGGGGGAAGAAAGUGCGCUUCGGCGUAUUGAUCUAACC
rnacentral:rRNA from 1 species